CAUUCCGAGCAUGUAUAUAAUAAUAAAUCCAUCAAAUAAUAUUCGCAAUAAAUAUUUACAUCGGGUCGAUUUAUUUUUAGGUUUCGGUUUAUUUUUACAGAUUUACAUACGUCAGAUUUCAGCCGAUUGGAAUAGGGAUAAAAUGGGAAAAUAUGGGUUUGAUGUGUUUACACUGAUCAGAGGUACCCAAAAAGUACUUCGCAAGUUAUUCUAGAAUACCCCUUGAGUGUUUGGAGUAUAAGAAGCUCAGAAGAAAACUUCGUGAUUCUAAAAAUAGACUGACGGAUCCUACGGUACGGCCCGGACAAUGUAUACAUUAUGUAUCAAACAAACCAAAUAAACCUGCGUUAUAAUA